rnacentral:rRNA from 1 species
UGCUGCUUCGCUGACGAGUGGCGGACGGGUGAGUAAUGUCUGGGAAACUGCCUGAUGGAGGGGGAUAACUACUGGAAACGGUGGCUAAUACCGCAUAACGUCGCAAGACCAAAGAGGGGGACCUUCGGGCCUCUUGCCAUCAGAUGUGCCCAGAUGGGAUUAGCUUGUUGGUGAGGUAACGGCUCACCAAGGCGACGAUCCCUAGCUGGUCUGAGAGGAUGACCAGCCACACUGGAACUGAGACACGGUCCAGACUCCUACGGGAGGCAGCAGUGGGGAAUAUUGCACAAUGGGCGCAAGCCUGAUGCAGCCAUGCCGCGUGUAUGAAGAAGGCCUUCGGGUUGUAAAGUACUU